AAUUCGACGCAACGCGAAGAACCUUACCAGGGCUUGACAUCCCCUGACCGCGUAUGAAAGUACGUUUUCACCCUCGGGUGACAGGGAGACAGGUGGUGCAUGGUUGUCGUCAGCUCGUGUCGUGAGAUGUUGGGUUAAGUCCCGCAACGAGCGCAACCCCUACGUUUAGUUGCUAACGCGUGAAGGCGAGCACUCUAGACGAACUGCCGUUGACAAAACGGAGGAAGGUGGGGAUGACGUCAAAUCAUCAUGCCCCUUAUGUUCUGGGCUACACACGUGCUACAAUGGCCGGUACAGACGGACGCAAAGCCGCGAGGUGGAGCAAAUCCUAAAAAAGCCGGUCUCAGUUCGGAUUGCAGGCUGCAACUCGCCUGCAUGAAGCCGGAAUCGCUAGUAAUCGCGGAUCAGCACGCCGCGGUGAAUACGUUCCCGGGCCUU
rnacentral:rRNA from 1 species